AGCAAAAUGGUGUAGUUGGUAGCACUAUUGCCUCACAACAAUAAGGUCACGGGUUAGAAUCCUGUCAGUGUGG